rnacentral:lncRNA from 1 species
AAGACCUAAGAAUCACCAGUCAUUUUUUUUAAAUAAAGGAGAACCUAAAUGAAGCUAAGUUCUUCUUCUUCAUGGAGAUUGAAAAAAAAAACCUAGAACACAAAAAAGAACUUAGAGCCAGCCGUUUCUGACCAAAAAAAGAACCCCCCCCCCCCCCCCUUGAAGGUCUUCUUCUUUGAGACACCACCUUUCAGCCAUGACUUUUCUUCUUCAACCUUAGCACACCCAAAACCUAGCACCAGUCUGUCGCCGGCCUUAACUCCACCACCUCUCAACCGCAGUUCUCCAUCAUCACCUGAACCCAAAAACAUACCCCUAAACCCUUUUUCUUUAUCUUCGAUGAGAACAUCAUAACUCACUACCACACGAUCACCCUGACCCCUUCUUCUUCAACAGUCGAUCUCGCUGGAAAACGAGCAGCAACCAGCGACCAGUUUCUUCACCACCCUUCUUCACUACAUGAAGCUAAUGACAAAACACCCCUAAGCAGAGGCAGCAGAUACUAUAGUUGAACACCACUAGAAAAUAGCUAGAGUUUCUAAGUCGAGUUGAGAUCCGAGCUGAGUCCGCCGAGUUCGAUUGGGUCGUUCAUGGUUUAUUUUGCUUUUGGAUUGCGGGGCAGUAAAAUAGUUAAAGUUUCAGAUUCAAAACUUAAGGUUCAUUUCUUGCUUUAAUAUAAUUAAUUUUGGAUUAGUGUUUUGUGCAAUUUUUUAGCGAUGCACUACUGCUUGGAUUUAGUCUUCUGUGUAAAUUUUUAGUUGUUUGGAUGUUUUCUCUUUUCAUUUGGUCAUAUGUGUUUGGAGGUGUUAUUUUGAUUAUUGGGUCAGUUAUGAUUCGAAACCUAUUGUUGUAGCAGUGUGCUUUAGGAACUUCAAGUCACAAUGGGCCAGUAAUAUAUUUAUAUCACUUAACUUCAUCAUUUGAGUUUAGUUGUUCAUAUUUAAUGGUAUUUCCUUAUUACCCGUGGCUUCAAGUGUUUGGAUGCAUAUUGAAAUGAGCUUGAAUGAUUUGAAACUGGAGGAGAAAUUCAGUAGAGCACGCAAUUGGGUUUAAGAUAAUUAAAAAAGAAGAAGAUUAAGUUGGAUUAAGUGUGGACCUUGGGAUCUGACAUGAUACGGGAGCUAGCCAAAAUGGGUAGGCUUGGAUAUUUGUUCACGAUUUUUUUUCUAAUAGCUGAUUUAGUGGUUGUGGAUUAUUUUGAUAUCAAAGUUGAAAGAAGUAUUUAAUAUUUGGUUUGAUCAUUAUAUUCAAUGCAGUGACUAUGGGUACGGUUCUCGUGACAUGGUUACGAUACAUAAUUCCCAAAUUCGGGUGCACAUUUCAUGUGAUCCGACCACAACUUCAAACAUUAAUAAAAAUUAAACAUGUUUUAGAUCGUGGGUACGGUUUCCGUGACAUGAUUUGCAAUGUGUAUCAAACAAACAAGUGUACGACAAUCGUAACUUGUUCAAGAAAUAAUUCCAUAAAUCCUAAAAAGCGGUUUGAAAGUUAAAUAUGCACAUAGGUUUAAAUUGUGUAAUAAAUUAGAUAAUUAGGCCAAAUAUUAAUAGUUGAGAGACCGUGCUAAAACCACGGAACCCGAAAAUGCCUAACACCUUCUCCCGGGUUAACAGAAUUUCUUACCCGGAUUUCUCUGUUUCGCGGACUGUAAAACAGAGUCAAACUUCCUCGAUUCGGGAUUUUAAACCGGUGACCUGGGACCCCAUAAAUUAUCCCAAGUGGCGACUCUGUAUAAAUAUAAAUAAUCCCGUUUCGAUUGUCACUUUAAUUGAAAAAACUCUCCUAUACCGCUUCCGGUGGUAGAAAAAGGAGGUGUGACAGCUUUGACGACUCUGCUGGGAAUAAGAACUCAGAACUUCUGGUUCAGUGUUCAAGAAUUCGAGCUUAGAAUAAUUGUUAUAUUUAGCUUUAUUUAUUAUCUGAUUUUAUUUACAUGUUUGGGCCUAAUGUGCUAAAUGUUAUUUUUUAUCGCUUUGAUAUUAUGUGAACUGUAUAUAAACUGCUAUGAAACCCCUCUCUGCUAAUCUUCUGAGAAGUGCACGCUGGCGUGACGGCUUUUUGUUAGUGUCAUACCCUAAUUUAGAACGAGGUUCAAACAAGUUGCAAAGCCAGAUGAUCUUUUGGUUACGAGUACGCUGCCUCUUCUCAGCUCGAGCUGUCCGCUCGGGUAAGCCACGUCUAAACAAUACACCCAGGUUUUAAACCUAGAAUAACACAGCCUCAUGCCGGAUCCCUAGUAGGAAUGCUUGAUUGCAUCAUGUGCAUUUGAAUUUGGGGACUCAACACAUGGAUUGGGUCCGUCUAGGACAGGUGUACCCAAAAAAUAAAAGACCAUCCUGAUUCAUCAUAUGAGCUACAUGUUGCAAUUUUCAAGGGUAAAAGGGGUCAUUUGGCAGACCAAUGAGGGUUGAGGGUAAAUGAGAAAGAAAAUAGGGUGAAGUGUAAAAAAUAAAGCAAGUAGGGCCCAGUUAUAUUUUUCUUUCACAUUUAUUUUUAGAAAAAGACAAAAAAAAAUGAAAAAUCCAAAAAGAUUUUGCACUUUCCCAUCAUUUUCCAAAAAAAAUCAAAAAAAAGGGAAAAGAAAAUCCAAAAAGAGUUUACAUGUUUCAUCAUCUUUAAAAAAAAGACAAAAAAUAUUUUCUCUAAAUUAGUUAUUUUUUUAAUUCUCGCCAGUAUCCAAUCUGCCCGAACUAUGCAUACAUGAUUCUCUUCUUUCGGGGCAUGAUAUGUAGGCAACCCACAUAGGGUCUGGUCUUCCUAGUGAGUCUUAGGUUCUUGGCUUCACGGGGUCUUAGCCAAAUCUUGUAUUUUUAGCCACUUUUAGCCACAUAGGUUAAUUUUAGAAAAAUAGCCACAAUCAUGUCUUGCAUGUGUCCAACAGGAAGGGUUAUUGUCUCACAUAGCGUUCUAGGUCUUUAACUUUAUUUUGUCUUAAUUUUCUCAUACGGGUGCAGGUCUACUUACCGGAGUUUGAGCAUGACAGACAUCCCGAGACCAUCCAGCCAGGAUUGCUCAUUUAGGAGUUGCUUAAGGAGAUUUUUUUAAUUUUUUUAUGUUUUGAGUAUGUUCUUCAUUUUAUGUCAUCUUUUACUUUCUAGUUUUGUAAAGUAAUGUCGAGUCUUUUGUUAUUGUACUUUCUACUUUGUAUUUGAAAAAGUGUGUUGUAACUCAAAAAUAAAAAUAAAAAAGUGGUUU